rnacentral:pre_miRNA from 13 species
AAUACCUGUUCAUGUGACCCGUGGACUUCCCUUUGUCAUCCUAUGCCUGAGAAUAUAUGAAGGGGGCUGGGAAGGCAAAGGGACGUUCAACUGUCAUCACUGGC